rnacentral:snoRNA from 1 species
GAAAAUGAUGAUAUGCUUGUCGCCCCAGUCUUACGCACACUUUGUGAUGUUGCAUGGUGACUAACAUUUCUAUCUGAUUU